rnacentral:lncRNA from 13 species
GUACCCAAGAUGCUGCAAUUUUAAAGGAGAAGAUGCUCUACGGAGUUACAUAUGGGCACAGGAAAAGGGCAGUCAAAAAGCAAAACUGUAUUUCUUCAAACAGCUUUUCCAGAUACCCGUAUUUACCACUGCUGAUAAAAUUUCUCUUUCUCAUUAAUACUAGGAUUUUCACCGCCCACCCCAACCACGGCAAGCAGGUUGUCCUGCUGACGUUAGUCCAAACUUCCGCCAACAACUUGCAGCACCUGGUGGGAGUCAUUGCUCAGAUUUGCAUCAACAACCAAUGGCACCCCUCAGUCUGGCAGGGCUCUCGUGGACUGUGGGUUGCCGGAGGGAUGAGGUCUGUGAUGAGAGUUUGAAAAUUUUCUCUACGCUUCAAGAGCUUUGUUCGUAGCUUCUUUCCCUGUUAAUUUUAAGAAUUCUGCUAGUGUUGGAAGAGAAAACCACCAAGUGUCCCACUGACUACUUAAAGAUUUACUUUUUUUCUUGGUCUUUGAAGUCCUGACUAUCCUGACAUGACUCCAGUUUUUGCUCUUCAGUUGUGUAGAAUUAACAAAAGUUCUGGAAAUUUCUGUAUGCCUUGUAGACACAGCCCUAUUUCUGUGUUUUUCAAUUCUUUGCUACCAAGAAUCUGCAAAAUGCUGAAGGAAAAAAUAUAAGUGUAAACAAUACCAACAACCAGUUUAUAUAAUGCCUCUAUUAUCUCAAUGGUUCCCUUUUGUUUGUGAUUUGUGGCUUCUUAAGACCAGAAUGUCUUAACAGUGCUAUGAUAUUUUCAAACAGAUUUUUUUUAACUAUAAAAAGUUUGAUCCAGCUUUUCUCAAUGGGAACAUGGGUUUGCCUCAUGAAACUUCAUCACAGGCAGAAGCAGACAUCAAUUCAAUGUUUUCUCUAUAUUUUUCUCAUUUACCAGCUGUAGACUGGAAUUUGUGGGGGCAAAUAAGGGAAUUGCUAGGUAGAAUUUAGACUAAAUAAAGAAAUUUCAUGUUUCUCUGCCUCA